UCGAGAAUUUCUCUCAAUGGGGGCAACCCUGAAGGAGCGACGCCGCGUGGAGGAUGAAGGUCUUCGGAUUGUAAACUCCUGUCAUUAGGGAACAAGUUGCAGCGAUCAACUGUCGCUGCAUUGAUAGUACCUGAAGAGGAAGAGACGGCUAACUCUGUGCCAGCAGCCGCGGUAAUACAGAGGUCUCGAGCGUUGUUCGGAUUCAUUGGGCGUAAAGGGUGCGUAGGUGGCGGGGCAAGUCAGGUGUGAAAUCCCGGGGCUCAACCCCGGAACUGCAUUUGAUACUGCCUUGCUCGAGUACUGGAGAGGAGACUGGAAUUUACGGUGUAGCAGUGAAAUGCGUAGAUAUCGUAAGGAAGACCAGUGGCGAAGGCGAGUCUCUGGACAGUUACUGACACUGAGGCACGAAGGCCAGGGGAGCAAACGG
rnacentral:rRNA from 1 species